AUUGAACGCUGGCGGCAUGCCUUACACAUGCAAGUCGAACGGCAGCACGGGAGCAAUCCUGGUGGCGAGUGGCGAACGGGUGAGUAAUAUGUCGGAACGUGCCCAGCAGGGGUGGAUAACUGCUCGAAAGAGCAGCUAAUACAGCAUACGACCUGAGGGCGAAAGGGGGGGAUCGCAAGACCUCUCGCGAUUGGAGCGGCCGACAUCAGAUUGGCUGGUUGGGGGGGUAAAGGCCUACCAAGGCAACGAUCGGUAGGUGGUCUGAGAGGCCGACAAGCCACACUGGGACUGGGACACGGCCCAGAAUCCUACGGGAGGCAGCAGUGGGGAAUUUUGGACAAUGGGCGCAAGCCUGAUCCAGCAAUGCCGCGUGCAGGAAGAAGGCCUUCGGGUUGUAAACUGCUUUUGUCAGGGAAGAAAUCCUCUAGGUUAAUACCCUUGGGGGGAUGACGGUACCUGAAGAAUAAGCACCGGCUAACUACGUGCCAGCCGCCGCCGUAAGAC
rnacentral:rRNA from 1 species